CCUACGGGAGGCAGCAGUGGGGAAUAUUGGGCAAUGGAGGCAACUCUGACCCAGCAAUGCCGCGUGAGUGAUGAAGGUAAUUUUAUUGUAAAGCUCUUUUCUUUGGAACGAAUAAAUGACGGUACCAAAGGAAUAAGCCCCGGCUAACUACGUGCCAGCAGCCGCGGUAAUACGUAGGGGGCAAGCGUUGUUCGCAAUGACUGGGCGGAAAGGGUGUGUAGGUGGGUUGUUAAGGUAGAUGUGUAAUACCCAGGGCUUAAUCCGGGUGCUGCUUCUAAAACUGCUAGACUUGAGUACUGGAGAGGUAGGUGGAAUUCCGAGUGUAGCGGUGAAAUGCGUAGAUAUUAGGAGGAACAUCAGGGGCGAAGGCGACUAUCUGGACAGUAACUGACACUGAGGCACGAAAGCGUGGGGAGCAAACAGGAUUAGAUACCCCUGUAGUC
rnacentral:rRNA from 1 species